GCCUUGGUGGCACAACGGUUAAGUGCUUGGCUGCUAACCGAAAGGCUGGUGGUUCUAACCCACCCAGUAGCU
rnacentral:tRNA from 1 species